rnacentral:rRNA from 1 species
CCUACGGGUGGCUGCAGUGGGGAAUAUUGCGCAAUGGGCGAAAGCCUGACGCAGCGACGCCGCGUGAGGGAUGAAGGUCUUCGGAUCGUUAACCUCUGUCAGCAGGGAAGCACGGUCACUGUGCUAAUCAGCAGUGAAUUGACGGUCCCUGCAAAGGAAGCACCGGCUAACUCCGUGCCAGCAGCCGCGGUAAUACGGAGGGUGCGUGCGUUAAUUGGAAUUACUGGGCGUAAAGCGCUCGUAGGCGGGAGGUCAAGUCAAGGGUGAAAUCCCCGCGCGCAACGUGGGAACUGCCUUUGAAACUGGCAAACUAGAGUGUGUGAGAGGAUAGUGGAAUUGCAGGUGUAGGAGUGAAAUCCGUAGAUAUCUGGAGGAACAUCAGUGGCGAAGGCGACUAUCUGGCACAUAACUGACGCUGAGGAGCGAAAGCGUGGGUAGCGAACAGGAUUAGAUACCCGGGUAGUC